ensembl:lncRNA
CAUCACCGCCCCCCAUCCCCUCCCCAUCCCCUUGAGGACCCAACCCAAUGACUGACCGACCCUUCCCCUCCCCAUCCCGUUGAGGACCCAACCCAACCGUUGGCCAACCCUUCCCCACCCCAUCACCGCCCCCCAUCCCCUCCCCAUCCCCUUGAGGACCCGACCCAAUGGCUGACCGACCCUUCCCCACCCCAUCCCCUUGGGUACACCGCUGCCCCCCCCCCCUUGUCGGGGGGCUCUCGGGGAGCCCCUCAGUGCUGAGCGACCGGGCCGGGGGUGUCCUUGGGGCGAAACGACUCAGCAGACGACUGACCCGACCCCGUGGGGCUUCGGUGGUACCGCAGCUCUCCAAACCUUCAGCGCUACGGCUCAACCCCUGGCUCAACGUCACCGGGGGUGACGACCCCAUUGGAGGACCCCCCCCCCCCGGCCCCCGCUUUUGCCCGGCGCCUUUCCAACAGUUCCCUUUUCCAUGGGGGUAAUUGGGCCGCCCGGUCCCGCUGUUCCCUUUCCCGACGCCGGGCUGCUUCUUCUUCACGUCGACGGCGUUCCAAGAGUUGGAUCUUCCAACCCGGCACCGCCAUGGCCUGAGGUGGGAGGGGGACGUUGGGGAGACGUUGGGAGCGGUGGGGGACACCGAGGAUGGGGAUUUGGGGUCACCAGGGAUGGGGUCACCGAGUUUGGGGUCACCAGGGAUGGGGAUUUGGGGUCACCAGGGAUGGGGUCACCGAGUUUGGGGUCACCGGGGAUGGGGAUUUGGGGUCACCAGGGAUGGUAUGGGGUCACCAGGUAUGAUGGGGACACCGAGGAUGGGGAUUUGGGGUCAACAGGGAUGGUAUGGGGUCACCAGGUAUGAUGGGGACACCGAGGAUGGGGAUUUGGGGUCACCAGGGAUGGGGUCACCAAGUUUGGGGUCACCGGGGAUGGUAUGGGGUCACCGGGGAUGGUGGGGAGACCGGGGGUGGUGAUUUGGGGUCACUAGGGAUGGUUUGGGGUCACGAGGGAUGGUGGGGACCCCACAAAUGGGGAUUUGGGGUCACCAGGGAUGGUUUGGGGUCACCAGGGGUGGUGGGGAGAGCGAGGAUGGGGAUUUGGGGUCACCAGGGAUGGUAUGGGGUCACCAGGUAUGAUGGGGACACCGAGGAUGCGGAUUUGGGGUCACCAGGGAUGGGGUCACCGUGUUUGGGGGCACCGGGGAUGGUGGGGAGACCGAGGAUGGGGAUUUGGGGUCACCAGAGAUGGUUUGGGGUCACCAGGGAUGGAGACAUUGGGGUCACCAGGGAUGGGGUCACCGAGUUUGGGGUCACCAGGGAUGGGGAUUUGGGGUCACCAGGGAUGGGGUCACCGAGUUUGGGGUCACCGGGGAUGGGGAUUUGGGGUCACCAGGGAUGGUAGGGAGACCGAGGAUGGAGAUAUUGGGGUCACCAGGGAUGGCGUCACCGAGUUUGGGGUCACUGGGGAUGGUAGGGAGACCGGAGGUGGGGAUUUGGGGUCACCAGGGAUGGUUUGGGGUCACCAGGAGUGGUGGGGACACCGAGGAUGGGGAUUUGGGGUCACCAGGGAUGGUAUGGGGUCACCAGGUAUGAUGGGGACACCGAGGAUGGGGAUUUGGGGUCAACAGGGAUGGUAUGGGGUCACCAGGUAUGAUGGGGACACCGAGGAUGCGGAUUUGGGGUCAACAGGGAUGGGGUCACCGUGUUUGGGGGCACCGGGGAUGGUGGGGAGAGCGAGGAUGGGGAUUUGGGGUCACCAGGGAUGGUAUGGGGUCACCAGGGAUGGUAGGGAGACCGAGGAUGAGGAUUUGGGGUCACCAGGGAUGGGGUCACCGAGUUUGGGGUCACCGGGGAUGGUAGGGAGACCGAGGAUGGGGAUUUGGGGUCACCAGGGAUGGUUUGGGGUCACCAGGGAUGGAGACAUUGGGGUCACCAGGGAUGGGGUCACCGAGUUUGGGGUCACCAGGGAUGGGGAUUUGGGGUCACCAGGGAUGGGGUCACCGAGUUUGGGGUCACCGGGGAGGGGGAUUUGGGGUCACCAGGGAUGGUAUGGGGUCACCGGGGAUGGUGGGGAGACCGGGGGUGGUGAUUUGGGGUCACCAGGGAUGGUAUGGGGUCACCAGGGAUGGUAGGGAGACCGAGGAUGAGGAUUUGGGGUCACCAGGGAUGGGGUCACCGAGUUUGGGGUCACCGGGGAUGGUAGGGAGACCGAGGAUGGGGAUUUGGGGUCACCAGGGAUGGUUUGGGGUCACCAGGGAUGGAGACAUUGGGGUCACCAGGGAUGGGGUCACCGAGUUUGGGGUCACCGGGGAUGGUGGGGAGACUGAGGAUGGGGAUUUGGGGUCACCAGAGAUGGUUUGGGGUCACCAGGGAUGGAGACAUUGGGGUCACCAGGGAUGGGGUCACCGAGUUUGGGGUCAACAGGGAUGGGGAUUUGGGGUCACCAGGGAUGGGGUCACCGAGUUUGGGGUCACCGGGGAUGGGGAUUUGGGGUCACCAGGGAUGGUAUGGGGUCACCAGGGAUGGUAGGGAGACCGAGGAUGGAGAUAUUGGGGUCACCAGGGAUGGCGUCACUGAGUUUGGGGUCACUGGGGAUGGUAGGGAGACCGGAGGUGGGGAUUUGGGGUCACCAGGGAUGGUUUGGGGUCACCAGGAGUGGUGGGGACACCGAGGAUGGGGAUUUGGGGUCACCAGGGAUGGUAUGGGGUCACCAGGUAUGAUGGGGACACCGAGGAUGGGGAUUUGGGGUCACCAGGGAUGGUAUGGGGUCACCGGGGAUGGUGGGGAGACCGGGGGUGGUGAUUUGGGGUCACUAGGGAUGGUUUGGGGUCACGAGGGAUGGUGGGGACCCCACAAAUGGGGAUUUGGGGUCACCAGGGAUGGUUUGGGGUCACCGGGGAUGGUGGGGACACCGAGGGUGGGGAUUUGGGGUCACCAGGCAUGGUAUGGGGUCACCAGGUAUGAUGGGGACACCGAGGAUGCGGAUUUGGGGUCAACAGGGAUGGUAUGGGGUCACCAGGUAUGAUAGGGACACCGAGGAUGGGUAUUUGGGGUCACCAGGGAUGGGGUCACCGUGUUUGGGGGCACCGGGGAUGGUGGGGAGACCGAGGAUGGGGAUUUGGGGUCACCAGGGAUGGUUUGGGGUCACCAGGGAUGGUGGGGACAUCAGGGAUGCAGAUAUUGGGGUCACCAGGGAUGGGGCCACCGAGUUUGGGGUCACCGGGGAUGGUGGGGAGACUGGGGGUGGGGAUUUGGGGUCACCAGGGGUGGUGGGGACACCGAGGAUGGGGAUUUGGGGUCACCAUGGAUGGGGUCACCGAGUUUGGGGUCACCGGGGAUGGUGGGGAGACCGAGGAUGGGGAUUUGGGGUCACCAGGGAUGGUGGACCCCAUAGAUGGGGAUUUGGGGUCACCAGGGAUGGUUUGGGGUCACCAGGGGUGGUGGGGAGACCGAGGAUGGGGAUUUGGGGUCACCAGGGAUGGGGUCACCAUGUUUGGGGGUACCGAGGAUGGAGAUAUUGGGGUCACCAUGGAUGGUUUGGAGCCAACAGGGGUGAUGGGGACCCCACAGAUGGGGAUUUGGGACCACCAGGUAUGAUGGGGACACCGAGGAUGGGGAUUUGGGGUCACCAGGGAUGGGGUCACCAUGUUUGGGGGUACCGAGGACAGAGAUAUUGGGGUCACCAUGGAUGGUUUGGGGUCACCAGGUAUGAUGGGGACACCGAGGAUGGGGAUUUGGGGUCACCAGGGAUGGGGUCACCAUGUUUGGGGGUACCGAGGACAGAGAUAUUGGGGUCACCAUGGAUGGUUUGGGGUCACCAGGUAUGAUGGGGACACCGAGGAUGGGGAUUUGGGGUCACCAGGGAUGGGGUCACCAUGUUUGGGGGUACCGAGGACAGAGAUAUUGGGGUCACCAUGGAUGGUUUGGGGUCACCAGGGGUAGUGGGGACCCCACAGAUGGGGAUUUGGGGUCCCUGGGGAUGGUGGGGAGACCAAGGAUGGGGAUUUGGGGUCACCAGGGAUGGUGGGACCCCAUAGAUGGGGACAUUUGGGGUCAGCAGGAAUGGGGACAUUUGGGGACCCCAUAGAUGGGGAUUUGGGGACAGCAGGGAUGUUGGGGACAUAUGGGAUGGGGACAUUUGGGGUCACCAAGGAUGGGGUGACCCCAUAGAUGGGCAUUUGGGGUCACCGGCAUUGGGGGGGACCCCAUAGAUGGGGACAAUUGGGGUCUCCAAGAAUGGGGGGACCCCAUAGAUGGGCAUUUGGGGUCACCGUGGAUGGGGGGGGACAUAUGGGAUGCGGACAUAUGGGGACCCCAUAGAUGGGGAUUUGGGGACCCCAGGGAUAUGGGGACCCCAUAGAUGGGGACGUUUGGGGUCGGCAGGGUUGGGGUGACCCCAUAGUUGGGGACAUUUGGGGUCUCCAAGGAUGGGGGGACCCCAUAGAUGGGGAUUUGGGGUCACCGGGGAUGGGGGGAACCCCAAGGAUGGGGACAUCUGGGGUCACCAGGGAUGGAGAUAUUGGGGUCACUAGGGUUGGGGUGACCCCAUAGAUGGGGACAUUUGGGGUCAGCGGGGUUGGGGUGGCCCCAUAGAUGGGCAUUUGGGGUCACCGUGGAUGGGGGGGACAUAUGGGAUGCGGACAUAUGGGGACCCCAUAGAUGGGGAUUUGGGGACCCCAGGGAUAUGGGGACCCCAUAGAUGGGGACGUUUGGGGUCGGCGGGGUUGGGGUGACCCCAUAGAUGGGGAUUUGGGGCCACCGGGGAUGGGGGGAACCCCAAGGAUGGGGACAUCUGGGGUCACCAGGGAUGGAGAUAUUGGGGUCACUGGGGUUGGGGGGACCCCAUAGAUGGGGACAUUUGGGGUCUCCAAGGAUGGGGGGACCCCAUAGUUAGGCAUUUGGGGUCACCGGGGAUGAGGGGGACAUAUGGGAUGGGGACAUAUGGGGACCCCAUAGAUGGUGAUUUGGGGACCCCAGGGAUAUGGGGACCCCAUAGAUGGGGACGUUUGGGGUCGGCGGGGUUGGGGUGACCCCAUAGAUGGGGAUUUGGGGCCACCGGGGAUGGGGGGAACCCCAAGGAUGGGGACAUCUGGGGUCACCAGGGAUGGAGAUAUUGGGGUCACUGGGGUUGGGGGGACCCCAUAGAUGGGGACAUUUGGGGUCCCCAAGGAUGGGGGGACCCCAUAGAUGGGCAUUUGGGGUCAGCGGGGAUGGGGGGAACCCCAAGGAUGGGGACCUCUGGGGUCACCAGGGAUGGAGAUAUUGGGGUCACUGGGGUUGGGGGGACCCCAUAGAUGGGGACAUUUGGGGUCAGCGGGGUUGGGGUGACCCCAUAGAUGGGCAUUUGGGGUCACCAUGGAUGGGGGGGACAUAUGGGAUGCGGACAUAUGGGAACCCCAUAGAUGGGGAUUUGGGGACCCCAGGGAUAUGGGGACCCCAUAGAUGGGGACGUUUGGGGUCGGCGGGGUUGGGGUGACCCCAUAGAUGGGGAUUUGGGGUCGGCGGGGUUGGGGGGGGACCCCACAGAUGGGGCGGGUCGGGGCCAAUAGGGGCGGCGGCGCAGCCGCUAUGGGGACACAAAGGGCCGCCGCAAUGGGGGCAGCGCGGACGGGAGGAGCGGUUUAUGGGGUCGAUGCGGG